ACAAGGACCCAGCUUGUGGGGCCAUCUUUUCUGUUAAAAUUUAGCACAGAAAACUUAUGAGAACUGUAGUGUAAGAACCUUUAUUCCCACUGUCAUGCCUACUCCGGUUCGAGUCACUGAUAUAUGUUUAGUCCAUUCAGAGUCAUGGAAGAUGCUUGGUGUAUCUCAAACAAGGACAAACCCUGCCUCGUUGGCCGAAGCAAAGAAGGCCAAACAAGCAGCAGACUCAUGUGGUUUCAUUGCCCUGGAAUGGGGAGCUUCACUGUGGGAAUCCCGUGCACCGAGCAGCAUAGCUCCUUCCAGGGUUUGCUCUGUGUUAGUGCAGGGGGAGAAUAUGGGGUCAGAAACAAUGCUAGUGUCCACUGAAGACUCCCCUAGCCACAUGGGCAAUGAGCGGAAAAGUAUAUUCAGCAGAGUAACUACAUAGGAAUUACUAUACAGGAUCAGGCCAGUGGUCCAUUUAGCACAAUUAACCUGUCUCUGAGUGCUCAGUAGCAAUUGGUUUGGUGGAAGAAACCCUGCAACCGGUAGUUAUGGGAUCAGGCUGUGGUCAUCUGGGGCAGGUUACUAUCUUAAAUUUAGGCUGGGACUUUUGAAAGAGCUGAAGGACUUAGAUCCAUAUCUCCCAUUUAAAAUUAUUAGGAUUUGUGCAUUUGACUCCUUUAGAAAUAAAAUCUUGGCCCUAGAUUAACUCUUUGGGGCAGGAAAAAUUUCACUUCCUAUGUAAGGUGAAGAUUGCGUUUAACUGAGCCUCGCUGGAAUAACCUUUGCCCUGUUGAAAGAGAUGAGUGUGUGGCUCAGGGAUACAGGAAGUUGUGCUACAAAUUCAUCUGUCCAUGAUGAUGAUGAAGUCUGUAAUUCUAUCUGAUUAGGUUCCGUUGGCCAUUGCUGAGAAAUUCUAGGAGAAUGAGGUCAGCUGUUAGAUCCAGUAACAAAGGAUCCCAAGGGCAGGAGACACGGGGAUGCAGCCACUCAUGGCUAAUUUUCCUUAUAAUAAACCCAAAAUACCUAUUUUAUCCCAGACAUUCGGAAAUGUUCCUUUGAUAUUGAUGAGUCACAUAUAUGUGUUACAGGUAGAGAAGAAGGAAAUUUGCAUGUUUCACACGGCAUGUGAUAACCAAUAUUGAACCUUCUGUAGUUUAUGAAUGAACUGCUUAGCAGGAGAAGAGUCAUAAACAUCCAGCAAUGCCUGCAUAAGACAAUGAAGGACUAGGUCUCUGAUACUUGUGAUAAUGUUUAUGAGAGAACCAACAAGCUUGCAAGAUGGAAUAUUCUGAGUUGUUCAUCAUCAUGGGUCAUAAAUUGUUAUUGAUCCAACAUGUCAUCAUCAUCUUCUAUAAUUAUGCUGACUGUUGACCCUGGAUAUUCUGAAAGGGCAGUUGUGUUGCUAAUCUUAUCCUCAUUAUAUGACACACUUGCUAGUAAGCCUGUGUGGCCAUGGGUUUUUUUAAUCAGAGCAUUUCUUUGCCUCAAUUUUGAUAUUUUCAAACACAAAGGAUGAGCCUGAAUAAAGGUGUAGCCCUAUCCAGUUAGGGACUUUUCUGCUUAGAUUUUUUUUUCUUCUCUUGGGCAAUCAUUAUUUCCACCAUUGAGCUUCUCAGCCUUGGUGUGAAAAUAGAAGAGGGGUGAUCAGGAGGGGUGAAUGUUUUCUUCUUCAGGUUGAAACGUUGCCAUCAAAAUGGCAAACUAGGCAAAGGAUGUUUAUCCUCUCCAGGCCUAAUUGAUCCAGAUUUUUAGGCCAAAUUCAGCCCUGACGUGAGCAGGUGCAAUUUUACUGACUUCAGUGGAGCAGCAUCCACUUGUAAUACCCAUUCAUCAUGAAUGCUGCAAAGCGGAAUAAAUGAACAGGCUGUUGCUAUACCCAGCAAUUGGCCCACACCGGUAAAGAGGAGAACAAAGGGAUCAUUUGUACCUUUUCAUGGCCUCCUUCCAAUUACUUCUCAUUUCCCAGCUAAAAACAUAGGGCCAGAGCUUUCCGUCUGCUUCCUCUAUGCAAUAGUGCUCUCAUUUUUUAAAUAGAAAUCUUGAUUUGUGACUAUACUUAAAACUUCAGAGUGAACCACUGAAAAUACUGCAGAAUUGAAUCCAUUUAAGUUCUAUGUGUAGUGAUCUCUGUGCAAAAAUCAACAUUUCCACUGAGGUGGCAUGUGAAAAUAAUUUAUCUACCUUGUGAAUAAGAUAGUUUCUGAAAAUGUGCAUAAAGCACCGGACAACAUGGAAAAUCCCACUAGUAUCACUCUGCCUGGCUAUCAGGACUAAUAGGACAUUAUUGGAAAUGUGAAUGUAAACAGACUUAUUGAAGAGAAAUAUUCUAACCUUACACUAUAACUUUUUUUUCUAAUGAACAAAAUAAAACUAUUGCAUUCCAUUUUGGGCUUCAAGAUGUAA